AAUGGGUUCAGGAGGAGAAAGUUAUGUUGUUCACCAUUGAGGGGCUCAUUCAAAUCGGAGGCUUUGCAGUUCCACAACUAAUCAAUUUUCAUAUAAGAAACAAGGAAGGUCAAAAACUUCUUUCAGAUUUCAAAGAUUUUAGAAGAGUGAUUAUAUGGACCCAAAGCAGGGCUUAUGUUUUGGGUUUGUCGUUCAAUUAAGAUGCUACACUAUUGCAAUCAUCAUAAUCUUCAAAUUUGAUCUUCCAUUUUGGUCUUCUACUUAUCUUUGGAUAUUGGACUUGUCAAGAAACCACUCAACCUAAAAGUUUAAGCUUGUAAAUGAAGGCUCCAACAAUAGUUCACACCCCGCGCAUGAAAACCCACUAGGCUUAAAGCGUGAACAAGCACAGGCCCCAUUUGCUUUAUACUAAAAUAUUCAACUAAUAAGUGAUUGAGUUAUUUUACAUAUCAAAAUGGCUAACCAAUUUAAUAUUGCAACCCAACUACUU
rnacentral:misc_RNA from 1 species